rnacentral:rRNA from 1 species
GCUUGUCUCAAAGAUUAAGCCAUGCAUGUCUCAGUAUAAGCAAUUAUACGGUGAAACUGCGCACGGCUCAUUAUAUCAGUUAUAGUUCUUUCUGUAGUGUCUCCUACAUGGAUACUUGUGGCAAAUCUAGAAACAAUACAUGCGUAGAGGCCCGACUUUUUGGGAGGGCCGCAUUUAUUUGACUUAAACCAAUACCCCGCAAGGGGUUGCUUUGGUGACUCAUAAUAACUCAGCGAAUCGCAGCGCUUCGGCGGCGAUGAACAGUUCAAGUUUCUGCCCCAUCAGAUGUCGACGGUAGGGUAUUGGCCUACCGUGUCUAUCACGGGUGACAGGGAAUUAGGGUUCGACUCUGGAGAGGGGGCCUUCGAGACGGCCACCACAUCCAAGGAAGGCAGCAGG